CGGGGUGUAGCGCAGUCUGGUAGCGCGCCGGGCUUGGGUCCCGUAGGUCGGGUGUUCAAAUCACCUCACCCCGA
rnacentral:tRNA from 1 species